GCCUUUGAUGGUAUUAGAUUAGGGCCUGCCUGAAUGACCUCAUUUUUAACUUGAUUUCCUCAUUAAGGCCAGGUUUUCACACACAGUCACAUUCUGGGGUAACUUAGGACUCCAACAUGCCUUUUUAGGGAGACACAGUUUAACUCCUAACAGGGCCAGUGCACGGGUGCUUGGUAUUUGGUCACUGGUCUCCAGCCCAGCCGUCGUGGGAGGAUCUUGUGAGGGGCUCUGCCGUGCAGAUGUCUCACCGGGUCCCUAGGGAGCUAGAAGUUGGCUUGUAAUUCUUUGCACUGGAACCUGACUCCAUUUUGUAUGUAAACAUCAAGAAUUUUUUGCAUGGCUUUAGCGUACACUGAAUGUUCCGAGAAUGUAACUAGAAUAAAGAUUGAACUUUGUUUUGUUUGA
rnacentral:lncRNA from 1 species